rnacentral:lncRNA from 1 species
CAUCAUCCUUCACAUCACAGAGCUUUGUUCUCAUAAGAUGAGGUUGUAAGUUCAAAUACAACAAUUUAGAAUUUAACAAGAGAAAUAAAGUACACAACCAUGCCUUAUUAUCAAUUUAAAUACAACAAAAAAAAUAAAUAAAUGAAGUUUAAAAGAUAUUAGACUAUAUCAUAACUAGGAAAAAGGGGAAAGGAAUUGGAGAAAUUUGACUUACUUUUGCUCUCUAUGCUUAGGGCAAGAGGGAGAAAACUUCAAAUAUCCAUCUCAUCGAAUUUUUUUGAUACCUGAUUGAAUAGAUGUUAUGUAUUUGACUCUGCAUAAAGCAUACCAACUAAAUCAAGCCAUUGUUUUCUUAACGACAAUACAAAGAUCUGAUUUAGUGUCUAAUACAAAGAUCUAAAAAGUAUUGAAAAGUAAUGAAACAAACCAAACUAAUUACCCACGAGCAAACAGAAGAGUACCUAGUAUAAGUUAAAAGCAAAUGCUAGAGUUAAUCCUUCCACAAUAUUUAUGACCUGUGACAAUGUUUAACCGAAACUUUCCACUUCACUAUAAUGGAGAUAUGGUCAUGGAGUACCAAAACUUGUUAUGAGUAAUUCAUAUCUUGAAUGUGAACAUAGAAACUUUUAGAUAUAACUAGUGUAACAUUAAAGAAACAAUUGAAGUCAACGAAG